CUUGAAAACUGUUAGGUUAAGGACUUUUUGUGAUACAUGAACGUCAUUUUAGUUAGAAAUGUAACAGUAAAAGUGCUUGUAUUGCGGUCUCGGCUCGUAUGUUCGGCCGCUCGGUGUCGUACUUCUCCCGCUACGUUUCCCCCUGAUUUUAAUAGAAGUUUGUAUUUUAGGAACAAAAGAGAAAACCAGGGAAUUUAUUAAGCUUAGGGCGGAGAUGGACCACAUGAUCACCGGAGCAAAGUAUUCGGCGGCUGUGGCAUGGAGACUAUUCUGGAGAAAAUGGGCAUCCAGGGGAAGGUGCCAGCGAUGACCAGCUUCUGGAUCUGAUCAGGGAGGACAUGAGGCAGCAGAGGGCCCAGGAGAGAAGGACGAACUUUGACAGCUUUUUACUUUGCUAGAAAAAAAUGGUUAAGGAAGAUUAAACAUGUACAUAUAAAAGAAAUAUCUAAAUAAAAUCAGUUCUGCAUUAAA